ensembl:lncRNA
UUUAUAUUUGAUAGCGUGAGGAACAGAGGGCUUGGAACUUGUGAAGGGUUAAUUCUAUACACUGAAGGACGGAUGGAGAAAGGGAAUAACUGAUGGACUGAUUUAAAUCAAAACUACAGAUAGAACGAUUUUUUUUGCUGAUUGUGUUCAGUUCUACCGGCAAAAUAAGAAGUUAAUUCAAGCACUCCGGUAGGUCUCUGUUUCUCUCUCUCUCUGUAUGAUUAGACUGAAUUCUGCCUCAUUAACUUUAUUCUUAGAUUGGAUUCUGCCAUAAAGGUUUAUUCUGAGAUCGGAUUCUACUUUAAUAAUAAUUUUAUUCUUAGAUCGGAUUAUGCUUUUAAAACGCUAUUAUUCCUAAUUACUGCAUUCUGCGCCAUUAACAGCUCAGUGCUUGGACUUGAUUCUCCAUUCUUGGAUUUCUGCUUUAGCUUUUUGUUCAGAUUGGAUUUUAGUUCUUUAAUGGCUUUUGGAUUCUGCUUCAUGCAGGGAUUUGAUUCUGCAGCAACUCUAUGCUUGGAUUGGAUUCUGCUUGAACAAGUUUUAGACAUUUUGUAGUUAACGCCUCUUACCUAGUCUAAAAAAACAACAACAAAACAACAAUCACAGACGUCCCUAAUGGUGCAAUUACAGCUUUAUAGUUCACAUUAGACACAAACAUACUAUUAUUAUUAUUAUUAUUAUUAUUAUUAUUAUUAUUAUUAUUAUUAUUAUUGUUAUUAUUGGCUGGUUUGUUUCUUAGGCUGUACUUCCACAGGAAGCCUGUGAGUCUCUUCAUGCAAAUGAAUGCACAACGUUGUCACGAAUAUCCCGCAGUCACACACCAUCAAGAGUCACUUCAGCCCACUUCAGAAAUCAUUUAAUCUUUUGUUAAACUGUCUCUAGCAAGUGUUGCUAUUAUUAUCUGCUUUUUUUUUCUUCUUUUGUGUGAAAGUGCUCCAUUCUUACCUGGAAAGUAGUGCUAUGAAUAGUGAUAGAAAAUAAAAAUAGAAAAAAAAAGAAAAGUGGAGCUAAUUCCUAACUUAAAUUCGUCUUCAACACACACCACACAACGACGUAUCAGCCAGAGCAGAACUCGCUCCGGUGUUUGCUCGGCUUUGCACGAACACCAAAUCU